AUGUCGGUCAGCAGAAAGAUCUGGGCCGCUCUGUCCAGCCUGGCCCGGCAGUGGACUCUGGAGGAUGAGUUGGAACAGGAGCGAGAACGCCGGCGCUGACACCGGAACCUGAGCUUUGCCAUGGACGACGAGGACCCGUCAGCCCCUGAGAGACUGCUGAGCGUGGAGGAAGCAGAGGGGCCCCGGCCACCGGCCCCAGACCCCAGAGAUGAGGAGGAUGUCUGGGCCGUCCUAAGGAUGCGGCAGGAGAGGAGGCAGAGGCGCCGGGAGGCCCCCGUCCCGGAGCCGCAGGUCAGGCAGCCGCCCCCGGCGCCCGAGGAGCAGGGCGCCUGCGGGCUCCGAGAAGCCUUCUGCUGCGAAGACACUUGAGCCGGAAACGAGCCUGGACUCUGAGACCCCCAGCCCCAGUAAAUGUUCCGUGUCCCGGAAGAUCGCUGUGCUAGCGGAGAGAGCCGUUUCAGGAAAGAGGGCGGUUCCAGACAAAGCCAGCGUCUCGGAGAAGAGAAUGGUGUCUGAGAAAGCCACCGUCUUCGAGAAGACCCCGGCGCCGAGAUGCAGCCGGCCCCAGGCAGGGCCAUGGCCCCAGCGCAGUCCCAGGCCCGGGUGCACUCAGCCUCAGCGGAGCGCUCGUCCAGCCCCGGGGGGGCAGCAGGGUGCUGGGCCUGAGGAGCCGGAGUCCUCGGCGGGGCCUCUGCCCCAGGCUGGCGGUCUCCCGCCUGUCACUCUGCACGGAUGCUGAGGCCGAGGUCCCCUCGCCGACACGGGCCUCGCCCACCUUCAGCAGCGCCCUGCAGCGCUCCAGCCCCCGCACCACCUCCUUCCGGAUGAGCCCCCAGAGAGACAGCUCAGAGGCGGCCUUAACCCGCAGCGCCAGCGUGAGGCUCCCGGCCAGCUCGGUCAAAUUAGGCCUGAAGCUGGAGCGAUACCACUCGGCCAUACAGAGAUCAGAGUCCGUCAAGUGUGCAAGCCCGUCCCGCCCUGAGUUCCUCGUGGCUCCCGUGGAUGUCGCCAGCAAGCGCCACCUCUUCGAGAAAGAGCUGGUGGGCCAGAGCCGAGAGGGCCCAGCCUCCAGCCGCAAGGAGAACUUGCACCUCUCAAGGGUGGUGACGUCGCGGCUCAACCUGUGGAUCAGCAGGACCCAGGAGUCAGCACAGCAGGGCCCGCAGAACCAGGAGACGCUGAGGGAGUCGGCAGCUGGCAGGAGCCCCCGCUGGGUGCCGAGGUUAUGAGGAGCCAGUCUCAGGCCAACAGCCGCGCCGGUCGCCUUUCCCGCCAGCUUUCCGCCCUGGACCCGGGAGGACGCUGGCCGGCAUCUUCCCCGCCCCUCUGGGGCAGGCGUGCCCCGCGCCUUGUCCGGC